rnacentral:SRP_RNA from 1 species
GCUAAGCAUGAUAGCACAUGGUCAUAAUCCUAGCUCUGAGGGAAAUCGAGUCUGGAGAUAUCUUAAGCUUGGGAGUUCUUAGCUGUAGUGGGCUAUGGAAAUAGAAUGUCCACACUAAAUUCAGAAUCAAGAUGGUAAGCCCCCAGAAUCUGAGGGCCACCAUGUUGCUUAAGGAGGGACAAAAUGACCCAUGUCAGAAAAAGAGCAGAUCAAAGCUCACAUGCUGAUCUACGUAGUAGAUUCAGACCCAUGAGUAACCCCUACACUUUCAGCCUGGGCAAAGAUAGGAAAAGUCUUU